CCCCGUGAACCUUUACUAUAGCUUGACACUGAACAUUGAGCCUUGAUGUGUAGGAUAGGUGGGAGGCUUUGAAGUGUGGACGCCAGUCUGCAUGGAGCCGGCCUUGAAAUACCACCCUUUAAUGUUUGAUGUUCUAACGUGGACCCGUGAUCCGGGUUGCGGACAGUGUCUGGUGGGUAGUUUGACUGGGGCGGUCUCCUCCUAAAGAGUAACGGAGGAGCACGAAGGUUGGCUAAUCCUGGUCGGACAUCAGGAGGUUAGUGCAAUGGCAUAAGCCAGCUUGACUGCGAGCGUGACGGCGCGAGCAGGUGCGAAAGCAGGUCAUAGUGAUCCGGUGGUUCUGAAUGGAAGGGCCAUCGCUCAACGGAUAAAAGGUACUCCGGGGAUAACAGGCUGAUACCGCCCAAGAGUUCAUAUCGACGGCGGUGUUUGGCACCUCGAUGUCGGCUCAUCACAUCCUGGGGCUGAAGUAGGUCCCAAGGGUAUGGCUGUUCGCCAUUUAAAGUGGUACGCGAGCUGGGUUUAGAACGUCGUGAGACAGUUCGGUCCCUAUCUGCCGUGGGCGCUGGAGAACUGAGGGGGGCUGCUCCUAGUACGAGAGGACCGGAGUGGACGCAUCACUGGUGUUCGGGUUGUCAUGCCAAUGGCACUGCCCGGUAGCUAAAUGCGGAAGAGAUAAGUGCUGAAAGCAUCUAAGCACGAAACUUGCCCCGA
rnacentral:rRNA from 1 species